CCUUUGACCCGGCGAUGUCCGAAUGGGGAAACCCAGUGCAAUCCGUUGCACUAUCGUUAACUGAAUACAUAGGUUAACGAGGCGAACCGGGGGAACUGAAACAUCUAAGUACCCCGAGGAAAAGAAAUCAACCGAGAUUCCCCCAGUAGCGGCGAGCGAACGGGGAGCAGCCCGGAGUCUGAAUCAGCUUGUGUGUUAGUGGAACGGUCUGGAAAGUCCGACGGUACAGGGUGAUAGUCCCGUACACGAAAGCACACUUGCUGUGAACUCGAAGAGUAGGGCGGGACACGUGGUAUCCUGUCUGAAUAUGGGGGGACCAUCCUCCAAGGCUAAAUACUCCUGACUGACCGAUAGUGAACCAGUACCGUGAGGGAAAGGCGAAAAGAACCCCGGCGAGGGGAGUGAAAAAGAACCUGAAACCGUGUACGUACAAGCAGUGGGAGCCUCUUUAUGGGGUGACUGCGUACCUUUUGUAUAAUGGGUCAGCGACUUAUAUUCUGUAGCAAGGUUAACCGUAUAGGGGAGCCGAAGGGAAACCGAGUCUUAACUGGGCGUUAAGUUGCAGGGUAUAGACCCGAAACCCGGUGAUCUAGCCAUGGGCAGGUUGAAGGUUGGGUAACACUAACUGGAGGACCGAACCGACUAAUGUUGAAAAAUUAGCGGAUGACCUGUGGCUGGGGGUGAAAGGCCAAUCAAACCGGGAGAUAGCUGGUUCUCCCCGAAAGCUAUUUAGGUAGCGCCUCGUGAACUCAUCUUCGGGGGUAGAGCACUGUUUCGGCUAGGGGGCCAUCCCGGCUUACCAACCCGAUGCAAACUACGAAUACCGAAGAAUGUUAUCACGGGAGACACACGGCGGGUGCUAACGUCCGUCGUGAAGAGGGAAACAACCCAGACCGCCAGCUAAGGUCCCAAAGUCAUGGUUAAGUGGGAAACGAUGUGGGAAGGCACAGACAGCCAGGAUGUUGGCUUAGAAGCAGCCAUCAUUUAAAGAAAGCGUAAUAGCUCACUGGUCGAGUCGGCCUGCGCGGAAGAUGUAACGGGGCUAAACCAUGCACCGAAGCUGCGGCAGCGACGCUUAUGCGUUGUUGGGUAGGGGAGCGUUCUGUAAGCCGUUGAAGGUGUNNNNNNNNNNNNNNNNNNNNNNNNNNNNNNNNNNNNNUUAACGCUGAGGUGUGAUGACGAGGCACUACGGUGCUGAAGUGAUAAAUGCCCUGCUUCCAGGAAAAGCCUCUAAGCAUCAGGUAACACGAAAUCGUACCCCAAACCGACACAGGUGGUCAGGUAGAGAAUACCAAGGCGCUUGAGAGAACUCGGGUGAAGGAACUAGGCAAAAUGGUGCCGUAACUUCGGGAGAAGGCACGCUGAUAUGUAGGUGAAGUCCCUGCGGACGGAGCUGAAAUCAGUCGAAGAUACCAGCUGGCUGCAACUGUUUAUUAAAAACACAGCACUGUGCAAACACGAAAGUGGACGUAUACGGUGUGACGCCUGCCCGGUGCCGGAAGGUUAAUUGAUGGGGUUAGCGGCAACGCGAAGCUCUUGAUCGAAGCCCCGGUAAACGGCGGCCGUAACUAUAACGGUCCUAAGGUAGCGAAAUUCCUUGUCGGGUAAGUUCCGACCUGCACGAAUGGCGUAAUGAUGGCCAGGCUGUCUCCACCCGAGACUCAGUGAAAUUGAACUCGCUGUGAAGAUGCAGUGUACCCGCGGCAAGACGGAAAGACCCCGUGAACCUUUACUAUAGCUUGACACUGAACACUGGUCCUUGAUGUGUAGGAUAGGUGGGAGGCUUUGAAGCGUGGACGCCAGUCUGCGUGGAGCCAACCUUGAAAUACCACCCUUUAAUGGCUGGUGUUCUAACGUAGACCCGUAAUCCGGGUUGCGGACAGUGUCUGGUGGGUAGUUUGACUGGGGCGGUCUCCUCCCAAAGAGUAACGGAGGAGCACGAAGGUUGGCUAAUCCUGGUCGGACAUCAGGAGGUUAGUGCAAUGGCAUAAGCCAGCUUGACUGCGAGCGUGACGGCGCGAGCAGGUGCGAAAGCAGGUCAUAGUGAUCCGGUGGUUCUGAAUGGAAGGGCCAUCGCUCAACGGAUAAAAGGUACUCCGGGGAUAACAGGCUGAUACCGCCCAAGAGUUCAUAUCGACGGCGGUGUUUGGCACCUCGAUGUCGGCUCAUCACAUCCUGGGGCUGAAGUAGGUCCCAAGGGUAUGGCUGUUCGCCAUUUAAAGUGGUACGCGAGCUGGGUUUAGAACGUCGUGAGACAGUUCGGUCCCUAUCUGCCGUGGGCGCUGGAGAAUUGAGGGGGGCUGCUCCUAGUACGAGAGGACCGGAGUGGACGCAUCACUGGUGUUCGGGUUGUCAUGCCAAUGGCACUGCCCGGUAGCUAAAUGCGGAAGAGAUAAGUGCUGAAAGCAUCUAAGCACGAAACUUGCCCCGAGAUGAGUUCU
rnacentral:rRNA from 1 species